rnacentral:rRNA from 1 species
UACGUAGGCAGCAAACGUUGUUCGGAGUUACUGGGCGUAAAGGGCUCGUAGGCGGCCAACUAAGUCAUACGUGAAAUCCCUCAGCUUAACUGGGGAACUGCGUGUGAUACUGGAUGGCUUGGAUUUGGGAGAGGGAUGCGGAAUUCCAGGUGUAGCGGUGAAAUUCGUAGAUAUUCGCAAGAACACCAGUGGCGAAGGCGGCUCACUGGCCCGGUACUGACGCUGAGGCACGAAAGCGUGGGGAGCAAACAGG